AUGUUAAAAAACCAGUCUCAAAUAACCUCUUUGAUUUGUCUCCCCUAAUUAAAACUUGAUAGCAGCACAGUGGAAUGAUGUCUAGAAUAGAGCACUUACAUAAUUGAUGCAGCAUAAUCUAAAAUGUACCAGUCCUGAAAUGUGGUGCACGUUCUAUAAAAAGCCAGUGUGACAUGCAGCAUUAAGCCAUUCCACCUGUUUAGAGCUAUAAGCCUGAAUUGUUGAACAGCCACCACCCUUCAUACUGUGAAUUUAGUUGAUUCCAGAGUGGCUCAGGAUUUGGAGGCUUUGAGCUGUGGGGAAGAUCACCACAGUGGAUUGCAGGUCUAGUGCCUGUCUCUUUAUUUAAUCGCAUGGGAUUUAGUUUGUCUCAGUGUCAGAUCCAGCUAGGAAACAUAGAGCUGUGAUUAUUGCCUCAUUGUGCUAUUCUCACCAUGGACCUGAAUUAUGAGGACACAGUUGCCUGGCGACCUGCUGAUGGGAAAUAUCUGCUAAAACAUUCCCACAGAGUUUUUUUUUUUUUUUCUCCACUAGACCUUCUAGAACAUCUCCUACAAUGCAUACAUGUGCUAAUACUGUAUACAGUUAUACAAUCUGUAAGGACAAAAGUAUUAAGGCUGCUUUGCUUCUGCAUAUUACAUCUCCUCUUGGGAUUCGUUCAGCUUUGGUUUUGUAUGGAUGAUUUAUUUUCCUCAGUAUGAUUAGAUGAUUCUUGCCUUUUUGAUGGAAGAGUUCUGGAUCUUAUUGCAUUUGUGCAGUCUGUUACCCAGUGCUAACACACACCAAGGAAAUAAACAAGGGUGAUGGGC